CCUACGGGGGGCAGCAGUGAGGAAUAUUGGUCAAUGGUCGGGAGACUGAACCAGCCAAGCCGCGUGAGGGAGGAAGGUACAGCGUAUCGUAAACCUCUUUUGUCAGGGAACAAAGGCGGGGACGUGUCCCCGGCUGAGUGUACCUGACGAAAAAGCAUCGGCUAACUCCGUGCCAGCAGCCGCGGUAAUACGGAGGAUGCGAGCGUUAUCCGGAUUUAUUGGGUUUAAAGGGUGCGCAGGCGGUCUGUUAAGUCAGCGGUCAAAGCCCGGGGCUCAACCCCGGCCCGCCGUUGAAACUGGCAGUCUCGAGUGGGAGAGAAGUAUGCGGAAUGCGCGGUGUAGCGGUGAAAUGCAGAGAUAUCGCGCAGAACUCCGAUUGCGAAGGCAGCAUGCCGGCUCCACACUGACGCUGAGGCACGAAAGCGUGGGUAUCGAACAGGAUUAGAUACCCCGGUAGUC
rnacentral:rRNA from 1 species